UUUCCGUAGGUGAACCUGCGGAAGGAUCAUUAAUGAGUUGUCAUGGGGUUCGAUGCUGGCAGCCAGUUUUUGGAUGCAUGUGCUUGCCCUAACAAUCAUCUUCUUCCAAACACCUGUGCACAUUUUUGAGGGAGUCUUGAGUUGGUUGCCGCUCUUGGGUGAUUUUCUCACAUUCCCUUAAAUCAUUAUACGCUAUUAACAAUGUUGAACAUGCUCUGUGCCGCAAGGCCAUUAAUAUAAUACAACUUUUAACAACGGAUCUCUUGGCUCUC
rnacentral:misc_RNA from 1 species